UAGAACUUACCCUCGAUAUGAAGAGUGGCUUCAAGGAAGAGUCGAAGAGUUUGGUCUGCCGUUCCCUAUUGAAGAACCUUUGUAUCCACCUACUCUUGAGCAGUCAACAAUGGUGAGCCGAGAGGAUUACAACAAGUUGAAGAGUGCCAUGGAGGGACUUCAAACCAAGAACUCAGAGUUAAGUGAGAAGUUGCAAGACUGUAUGCAUCAAUUCCAGGAGGCAGAAUACCAGAAGGGGGAAGCCGUCA
rnacentral:lncRNA from 1 species